UACGUGGGGUGCAAGCGUUGUCCGGAAUUAUUGGGCGUAAAGAGCUCGUAGGCGGUCUGUCGCGUCGGCUGUGAAAACCCGGAGCUCAACUCCGGGCCUGCAGUCGAUACGGGCAGACUGGAGUUCGGCAGGGGAGACUGGAAUUCCUGGUGUAGCGGUGAAAUGCGCAGAUAUCAGGAGGAACACCGGUGGCGAAGGCGGGUCUCUGGGCCGAUACUGACGCUGAGGAGCGAAAGCGUGGGGAGCGAACAGG
rnacentral:rRNA from 1 species